rnacentral:rRNA from 1 species
AGUCGAACGGAUUAUCUUCUGUAGCAAUACAGGAGGUGGUCAGUGGCGCAAGGGUGCGUAACACGUGGGCAACCUGCCCGGAAGUGGGGGAUAGCUCGCCGAAAGGCGAAUUAAUACCGCAUGUGACUACUGGUGGAAUCACCGGGACGUCAAAGUCGGGGCAACCUGACGCUUCUGGAUGGGCCCGCGGCCUAUCAGCUUGUUGGUGAGGUAACGGCUCACCAAGGCGAUGACGGGUAGCUGGUCUGAGAGGACGACCAGCCACACUGGAACUGAGACACGGUCCAGACACCUACGGGUGGCAGCAGUCGAGAAUUUUUCUCAAUGGGGGAAACCCUGAAGGAGCGACGCCGCGUGGAGGAUGAAGGUCUUCGGAUUGUAAACUCCUGUCAUUGGUGAACAAGGCUAGGCGAGUAACUGCGCUCUAGUUUGAUAGUAGCCGAAGAGGAAGAGACGGCUAACUCUGUGCCAGCAGCCGCGGUAAUACAGAGGUCUCAAGCGUUGUUCGGAUUCAUUGGGCGUAAAGGGUGCGUAGGCGGUGAGGCAAGUCUGGUGUGAAAUCCCGGAGCUCAACUCCGGAACUGCACUGGAUACUGCUUUACUUGAGCACUGGAGAGGGAACUGGAAUUUACGGUGUAGCAGUGAAAUGCGUAGAUAUCGUAAGGAAGACCAGUGGCGAAGGCGAGUUCCUGGACAGUUGCUGACGCUGAGGCACGAAGGCCAGGGGAGCAAACGGGAUUAGAUACCCCGGUAGUCCUGGCAGUAAACGGUGCGCGUUUGGUGUGGGAAGAAUCGACCCCUUCCGUGCCGGA